AUGAAGGACUUCGGUUAUGUCUCCAGGUGUGUGUGAAACAGGAAGAUGAAUACAGCGUGUGGAGACAUGUCUGAUUUACAAAAACAUGUUUGAGCACUUUCAUGGGGAAGGAAUGUUUGGAAAGUUUUCUGAUGACUUCCUCCUCCUGAACCGCGCAGUGUGAUAGAGUUCGGUCUCCCCCUCCAUCGUCUACGCUGACUCCAGUAUCGCCUGCCUCCUGAGGCAGACGCGUUUCAAAGCGUUAGAGAACCGGAUUCCUUCACUGGUACCCCCGCGCCCUUCAGGUUAAAAUGGCAAAGCGGUUUUUAUCUGGCUUCUUGCUUGUUUUCUACUGUAUUGCUAACAUGGUGCUGCAAGUUUUAUCUGCUAACAUCGUCAAUGGAACCAGAGGAGCCUCAUGGAUCUGGCCAUGCCAUCACACCCUCAGUGAACCGCUCCAGACUGGAGAAAUCUCCAUAUACUGGCAGGGCCAAAAUAAUUCCCAUAUUGUUGUGCAUGUUUACACAAAGGGGAAAGAAGAUUUCAAGUACCAAAGCCAGACAUUUAAAAAUAGGACUAAAAUCUUCCCAGAUCAGUUAUCUUCUGGCAACUUCUCACUUGCCAUUGAGCCACUGACACUGAGAGAUGACCAGACCUUCCUGGAAGUCAUUCUUGCACCAGGAAACAGACCUAGCGAGAAGCUCUGCCAGACAAGUCUAUAUGUGGCAGGCAGCAAGGGGGGACUGGGUUACUUGCUAGGAGAAACUGACCAGGAUUACUGA
rnacentral:lncRNA from 1 species